GUGCCUAUAGCUCAGCUGGAUAGAGCAUCAGACUUCUAAUCUGAGGGUCGCAGGUUCGAAUCCUGCCAGGCACG
rnacentral:tRNA from 1 species